rnacentral:rRNA from 1 species
GACGAACGCUGGCGGCGUGCUUAACACAUGCAAGUCGAACGCUGAAGCUCAGCUUUUGUUGGGUGGAUGAGUGGCGAACGGGUGAGUAACACGUGAGUAACCUGCCUCCUUCUUUGGGAUAACGCCCGGAAACGGGUGCUAAUACUGGAUAUUCACUGGUCUUCGCAUGGGGGUUGGUGGAAAGGGUUUUUCUGGUGGGGGAUGGGCUCGCGGCCUAUCAGCUUGUUGGUGGGGUGAUGGCCUACCAAGGCUUUGACGGGUGGCCGGCCUGAGAGGGUGACCGGUAACAUUGGGACUGAGAUACGGCCCAGACUCCUACGGGAGGCAGCAGUGGGGAAUAUUGCACAAUGGGCGCAAGCCUGAUGCAGCGACGCCGCGUGAGGGAUGGAGGCCUUCGGGUUGUGAACCUCUUUCGCUCAUGGUCAAGCCGCAACAAUGGUUGUGGUGAGGGUAGUGGGUAAAGAAGCGCCGGCUAACUACGUG